CGCCGCUGAACAAAUGUAAUGACUUAGAUGAAACGAUGGAAGGUAUGGUUGCCAAAUAUGCUGACAACACAAAGUAAGAUUGAAUUCCCAUCAAUAAAUGAAAUGGUGGUAUAAAGUGAAGGUUGACCUCCGCACCCACCCCGCCAAACCUCUGAGAACUAAAACCGAAGCACCCAAAGAGGAACACCUCACCACAUAAUCUGUAAAAGGAGGGUGAAAAGAUUGUUGCAGAAAUAAUGUGCCAGUUCGGUGACUGUCAAUGGAAUGUCACACACGUCAGUGAAACUCCAAAAUGGGAGAAACUUUUCAAGAAGAGAUAAUGAGGGGCCGCCUGUCCCUACACUCAUGGCAGAAAACUACCUCUUGCAGACAUGAAUUGUUUUACCCUCCAGAGCUAAACAGAAAAGAUGUUUAAAAGCCUGUUUCAAGUAUUUGCAUGCUGUUUAGCCUAGUCAAAAAACUAGUUACCCCAGUGUUGCAGGUAACUACCCAGGCUUAACUCCAUCUGCUGCAAUCCUGCUAAAAAGGAACCAGGACAACAAAGGACUCUCUCUCACCCUGAAUGCUGGAAUUCAAUCACAGUUGAAAGGCACUGGGACUUCAACAAGCCUACAAACCCAAGCAUCACAAAAUAAUGACUGUUCAAUUAUCAGCACCAAGUCUACUUGUAACCUUCUACUGCAACAACAGCAAUGCUCAACUAUCCACUCUUAGCCAACAACUCAGAUGCUGAUAUGUAUUUCUGUGUGUGUCUUUUUAAAAAAACUUUUAUUUCUAAUCCUUGUGUAUUUAUAUCUUGUGUUACUAAUUCUACCCACAUUUAGUAUUUAAUAAAUUAAAAUUUGUUAAUUCA